AUGAACGCUGGCGGCGUGCCUAAUACAUGCAAGUCGAGCGAACGGACGAGAAGCUUGCUUCUCUGAUGUUAGCGGCGGACGGGUGAGUAACACGUGGAUAACCUACCUAUAAGACUGGGAUAACUUCGGGAAACCGGAGCUGAUACCGGAUAAUAUUUUGAACCGCAUGGUUCAAAAGUGAAAGACGGUCUUGCUGUCACUUAUAGAUGGAUCCGCGCUGCAUUAGCUAGUUGGUAAGGUAACGGCUUACCAAGGCAACGAUGCAUAGCCGACCUGAGAGGGUGAUCGGCCACACUGGAACUGAGACACGGUCCAGACUCCUACGGGAGGCAGCAGUAGGGAAUCUUCCGCAAUGGGCGAAAGCCUGACGGAGCAACGCCGCGUGAGUGAUGAAGGUCUUCGGAUCGUAAAACUCUGUUAUUAGGGAAGAACAUAUGUGUAAGUAACUGUGCACAUCUUGACGGUACCUAAUCAGAAAGCCACGGCUAACUACGUG
rnacentral:rRNA from 1 species